CCAGAAUCCAUUACUGACUGAUUAAAUUACCCAGAUUUCUGCGUGUGAAGGUGAAAGUUCUAAAAGACAUCCGUGAGGCGAAUAUCAAUGCUGCAGUUUUGGACAGGGCAUUGGAAAUCAAGCUGCAGAAGGUCUGGAAAGUUAUUAUGCAAAGAAAGAAGAGGAAUAUGAAAUACUAAAAGCAGCUGCUAUACAGAUUGGAUCAGGGCUGAAUCAAGCCUAUUUUUCUUGAGAACCAUCUCACACAAAUCACUUGUAGCAGAUUAUGCAGUGAAGAGGACAGGAAAACUUGGUGGGCU